AUGCGCAUGACCGUCCUGUCUCCAGGGUCAUCCUCCACGCGUGGGUCCUCAGACGGCUGCAGAGACCGAUCCUUGAUCCACAUAGGCACACAUGGGGUUUGCGUAGCUUUGUAGGACGCAGCACUGACUUCCAUUCAGUCUUACACAAAGCAUUCUCCAUGUGGACCUAAAGAGGUCACAACAUGUAGCAGGCGUCGGAGCAACUCAUUUUAGGGAUGUAGAAGACACAAAUCCACUGCCAUGGUGAUCACACUCUUUCGUCUAGUUCACUGGACAAAGAAUGUGCGUUUGGGGAACGGACAAUCUUACUGUCAGCCAAUGUGAAUGAUGAUUCACAGAGAUGAGCAAAUAUAAUGAUGUGUAUCUCAGUCUUGGACUCACGUGCAUGUGGUAGGAGAUGAAGAAAGACUUCUCUGUGUGUUGUGUCUCAAAACUCUGGUGGCAGGGGACGGCAUGAGACCUAAUAAAUUGAAGAGACACUUAAAGACAUACACUCCAGUCACGUCAGUAAGAGGAAACUUUGUGAAUACUGUGAUAACAGCAUGUGUAAACAACAAAGCACAACUGGCAUCCUCUAGAUGUUUGUUUUAAUAAAAAUUAUUUGUGACCCACAGUUACAAUUUUGUUUGGGUUGGAGGCGCCCUGGAAAUGUAUCCUCCGUCACAACAUCUCUGUGGUCUUCUGCUUUUCCUCCUUCUCUGCAGCUCAAUCUACAUGUAGAUGUUAUAUUUCCAUAUGAUUCAAGUUCCAUGGAGACAGUCAGCAUGUUCUCUGUGCUCGGUUAAGUUGAGCUGAGUUGAGUUUUAGGUCAACUAUGCCAUUGAAUUGGAAUAUUGUCCUUUUAGUGUCAGCCUCCCCAACACUAUGUGACAACACUCUUUAAUAAUAGACAUUUUCUGAGGGCCCAUUAGCUGUGUCUCAAGCCAAGGGCUGGAUUCUAUGGAGUAUGCAUUUGUCAACCUACUCACCCUUCAGAGGAUUCAGCCAUUGGACUGAGAAACAACUAGCAAGUCACGGACCAAAAGAACUUUAGCCCGCAGCUAGUUGUUAGCAUGUCAAGUGCCAUUCUGUGUCUUUCUACCAUCCAUUAACCCCUCAUCAGUCCAGUAUGUAUGGACCUUGUCAGUUCAUUUGUAUUUACAGGUGUAAUUUCCUGCAAAGCGUUUCCUCUUCAUCAGCUGGGAACCAACCUUCCUUGACGUUUCAUCCUUUUAAUUCCAGUACAUCUCAGGAUGGUGGGAUAACAGUUUCCCUGCUCCUCCAUGCAGCUGGAUUUUGAUGCUCAGGUUCCACUAUGUUGCUGUUUGGGUCCCCCAGCUCAGAAUCUCCCCUUCUCCUCUUCUUCUGAGAGAUCUUUGAUGGCUUUCCAGUCUUUGGCUCCAGUCUGUGUACCCGAUCAUACAAGUGAGCCACUGGACAUCCUGCAAGAUUUCUCGUCUACUUCUAUUAUUCUGGGUUUAAAACCUGGGGACAGGAACAGUUGGACAUGUGCAGUGUAGCAACUCAUCACCAACCACACUGUCUGGGUGCCGAUAAUGCGCCCGGGUGCAGUCUGACUUUGAAAGUGAUUCCAGUUUUAGUCGGAUUAACACAGUAAUUCCAUAUCUUCCUGAUGUCAUGUAAACAGACUUGGUGUUUACUAGUUGAACCAACUAAUCUAAACCAGGCAGGACUCCUGUCGACAGCUUGAAUUGGCUCUGGCAUACACUGAAAAACAAAAUUGCCCCAGCCAAUCAAACUAUGAGAAGAGAUAUGGAAAAGACAUAGCAAGCCUCCGGCUCCAGUUCUUAUCAGUCCAUCUGUCUGUGUGAUGACAAUAAACAAACAAUGAAUAUG